GGGAGGAGCCCCAUGGGGAGGGCCCUUCCUGACCACGGCCCUCUGACUCACGCCUUAUUCAGUCAUUAUUCAGGCCUGCCGCCUGCCCAGCUAAUGGGAAGUCCCGCUCCAGCGAUUCAGCAUCCAAAGGCACAUGAUGAGAGAAAUGUUUCUUUUAACUUUAGCUAUAGUAAAAUACACACAACAUAAAGUUUACCGUUUUAACCAUCUUUAAGUGGACAGUUCACUGGCAUGAAGUACCUUAAUGCUGUGAUCAGCCAACACCACCAUCCAGCUCCAGAACUUUCUCACCAUCCCAAACUGAACCUCUGUCUCCCUUGAAUACUCCCCAGCCCUCUCCUCCAGCCCCCAGCAACACCCAUUCUGUUCUCUGUUCCUCCGUCUGUAUGGAUUUGACACUCUAGGGACCUCACAUAAGUGGAACCCUAUAGUAUUUGUCCUUUAUGACUGGCUUAUUUCACUGAACAUAAUGUCUUGAAGGUUAAUUCUUGUGUCGGAAUCUCCUUACUGGUAAAGGGUGAAUAACAUCCCAUCGUCCAUCCACGCCGCCUUUAGUUCAUCCAUCCAUCCACUGACGGGCGCUCGGGUUGUUUACCCGUCCAUCUGCUGACGGACACUCGGGUUGCUUCUGCCUCUGAACAAUGCUGCUGUGAGCUUGGGGCUACAAGAAUCUGCUUGAGAUGCUGCUUUCAGUUCCUUCGGGCGGUAAGAUACUUAAAUCUGCAUGAGACACUGAAGCUGUGGCCAGAGUCCUCAUCCUUCCAGCCUCAUACAGAAGGCUUCCUCUGAGGAAGGAUCAGACAUGCCCAGCAGGAGGAUUCUUUACCAGCUGAGUCACAAGGGAAACCCACG